AACCAUUUAUAAGCAGUGCUUCGUAUAAUCCCACUAAUAAGGUGUGGGAGUCUCUACCUGGAGCCGCAAAUUCCAGAUUACGAAGAGUUAAGUGCAUGGC
rnacentral:ncRNA from 1 species